rnacentral:rRNA from 1 species
AGACGUCUACAUUAGAUACCCCGGUAGUCCCAGCCCUAAACGAUGCGCGUUAGGUGUAUCGGUGACCACGAGUCACCGAGGUGCCGAAGGGAAACCGUGAAACGUGCCGCCUGGGAAGUACGGUCGCAAGGCUGAAACUUAAAGGAAUUGGCGGGGGAGUACCACAACGGGUGGAGCCUGCGGUUUAAUUGGACUCAACGCCGGGAAGCUCACCGGAUAAGACAGCGGAAUGAUUGCCGGGCUGAAGACCCUGCAUGACCAGCUG